AUGGCACGAAAAGGAAAUCCAAUUUCGGUAAGACUUGAUCUGAAUCGUAGUUCAGAUCCAAGUCGGUUCAGUGAUUAUUAUUAUGAUAAAUCAUUGUAUCAAGAUGUCAAUCUGAGAUCUUAUUUUAGUUCGAUACGUCCACCUACGAAACUCGCCCUUGGCUUUCGUCUCGGUAGGUGUAUUAUUCUACAUUUUCCCAAAAGGACAUUCAUUCAUUUCUUUCUUCCCGGGCGAUUACCACGACUAAAACGAAAACAAGACAAGAAAUCAAGACCCGUACCACAGGAAAAGGGCUGGUGGCCGACAUUUGGGAAAGUCGGGCCGAUCGGGUGUCUUCAUUCAAGCGAGGGUAUAGAGGAAGAACGAAACGAAGUGAGAGGCCGGGGGGCAGGGAAAAGAGUCGAGUCGAUCGACCGGGAGAAGCAAAACUAAAUCCGGAUUUGGACGAAAAAGAUGCAACGUUAUGGAUACCAUGACCGAUCACCAUCGAGAAAGAAGAAUUUUGAUAAAUCACUUCGGGUGAGCGGGGCCUUCAAGCGGCCUCAAUACACCGGGGUUGUAAAUGACAUACCUUUCAUUAUGGGAAAUGCCGCCUCCUUACUAAAAAGGAAUAGAAUCAAGUUAUUUUUACCAAAGAAGUCCCACUCUGACGGCCCGAUGAGUCAUCUACUAAAAAGGACCCUCCCCGCUGUGCGCCCCUCCUUGAAUUAUUCGGUCAUGCAAUACUUUAAUACUAAGAAUAAAAUGCAUUUCGACCCCGUCCUAGUUCUCAAUCAUUUUGUGGCACCGGGUGUGGCUGAACCAUCUACGAUGGGGGGAGCGAAGGGAGGAAGCUUAGAUAAGAGAAUACGCUCUCGCAUCGCUUUCUUUGAAAGCUCUACCAGCGAGAAAAAGUGUUUGGCCCGAGCCAAAAAGAGGUUGAUCCACUUCAUUCGCCAAGCGAAUGAUCUUCGCUUCGCGGGAACAACAAAAAUCACCAUAUCGCUCUUUCCUUUCUUCGGUGCUACCUUCUUUUUUCCAAGGGAUGGGGUUGGGGUGUAUAAUAACCCUUUUUUUGAGUAUGCCCGGAAACAACUCCUAGCUCAGUUUAGGAUCAAAUGUAGGAACCUCAUGGGUAAGGAUAAGGUAAUGGAAUUGAUAGAGAAAUUCAUAGACCUAGGUAGGAUAGGAAAAUUGAUAAAGGGAAUAGAGAUGAUGAUAGAGAUCAUACUGAGAAAGAGGAUAAUUCCGUACGGGUACAACUCUUAUUUGAACGAAGUGCAAAAAAUGUGAUCUUUUUUGUCUAAUAGAACAAACACUAAUACCUUAAUUGAGUCGGUAAAGAUCAAAUCUGUUUAUCAAAGUGCUUCUCUGAUUGCUCAAGACAUCUCUUUUCAACUGAGGAACAAUCCAAUCUCAUUUCGUUCCAUUUUUAGUAAAAUAGUGAAGGAUAUUCCAUUAAUAAUGCCAAAAGGGGUGGAGGGGAUACGUAUUUGUUGUUCUGGUCGAUUAGGGGGUGCGGAAAUAGCUAGAACUGAAUGCGGAAAGUAUGGAAAAACAUCUUGUAAUGUAUUUAACCAGAAAAUCGAUUAUGCUCCUGCGGAAGUAUCUACUCGUAACAGAAUUUCAGGUGUCAAAGUGCGAAUCUCAUAUAGUCAAAAUAAGAAGGGACGUGCUAUAUCCGAAACGUACGAAAUAUAG
rnacentral:rRNA from 1 species